rnacentral:rRNA from 1 species
GAUGAACGCUAGCGGCAGGCCUAAUACAUGCAAGUCGAACGGUAGAUCGGGUAGCAAUACUUGAUUGAGAGUGACGUAAGGGUGCGUAACACGUAUGCAAUCUACCCUCAACAGGAGUAUAGCUCGGGGAAACUCGGAUUAACACUCCAUAACAUUACGAUGUGGCAUCACAUUGUGAUUAAAACUCCGGUGGUUGAGGAUGAGCAUGCGUCUGAUUAGUUAGUUGGAGGUGUAACGGACCCCCAAGACGAUGAUCAGUAGGGGAACUGAGAGGUUGAUCCCCCACACUGGCACUGAGAUACGGGCCAGACUCCUACGGGAGGCAGCAGUAGGGAAUAUUGGUCAAUGGGUGAGAGCCUGAACCAGCCAUGCCGCGUGCAGGAAGACGGCCUUCUGGGUUGUAAACUGCUUUUAUCUGGGGAUAAAAAGCCCAUGCGUGGGACAUUGAAGGUACCAGAUGAGUAAGCACCGGCUAACUACG